CCUGCUUUAUGGUGGUCAGUGAGUCGCGGAUCAGUUUGCAGAUCAGGCAGUUGCGGGUCAGGACACCACAAAGCUGAAGAAGACCGAGAAACUGGGACUGUGGCUUUGGUUGUUAAACUUUGCCCUAUGCUGUUGAAGAGCUGAACUAAGCCUCAAAAACACACAAAUCAUCGGCCCCCUUAGAAUUCCAGUGCAGGAUUGCGAUACAAAGAAAGAGUAGUUGAAGUGAGGGAUGGGUUUAAAUUGCACGCCACCCCAAUAAAUUCCCCAAUAAAUAUUUAAAAAGCCGCUUUUAAGCUAAAAAAUAAAAUCAAACAAUUGUUCGCCAACACAUUUCGCUAGUUUCGCUUUAUCAAGGCGAAUGGCGGCCCAUCGGGAGAUGCGCUAUUUAAAACACUUCCGGGUUCCACGUUUUUCACAGGAUCUCGUGAGAGUUCAUCAGUAUUACCUUCGGAUCUUGGAUCGCCGGUUACGUAGGCAAACGUCACAGAGCCGCAACUUUGGCACUAGCCAAUGGCUCAACAGAACCUGUUCUCGGCAUCACCAAGUUAACUCUUAGGUUACCGUGGUCCUAAUUAGCUCAUUCUAUUUAUCUUUCUCCUCCACUAGGCCGUCAUAUUAAUUCUGUAUAUAGAUACACAAUGAGAUCUGCAUAUAUUUAUUUAUUUAUUGUAUCAGACAACCAUACAUCAAUUGUUCAUCAAUUUUAUAAGGUUUUAAACGUUAUUUAAAUAAUCCUUAGAAAAUCACCAUAUGGUUCUGUACUGAUAACUGAUGUAGAGACAUGAAUUAAGUAUUUUUAAAGAAUUUUUAGAUAUUUAUGAACUAAAUGAACACAGUAAAUAGGUUAUAUUCAUUUAUUCCUUUUGGGGAAACCGAGUCCAAUUGGAAUAUCCAGUAGCUCCCCCGUUUAAGGAGAGCUUGUUCCAGAUUACCUUUGCGUAUCCCCAAAUUUACUUCCUCCAAAGCCCAGAAUUUUAAUUUCCUUGGAUCCAUAUUAUGGAAUCUCUUAAAGUGCUGUGUUUACCAAAUCUAUCCUCAAAAGAGGAGAUCUUCAAGACUUUCUCACACAUGUUACAGUUGCCACAGGGGUAACACUCCCCCAAUUUGCCACCUUCUUAUGUUGGGACCUUUGACAGUGGCUUUUUGUGAGCAUGUCUUUUAGAUUCGGGCUUCUUCUGUAGCUUAUGGCCACAUUAUCUUGGAAAAUAGAACCCAGGGUGCCGUCUUCCAGAAGUAUAGGCCCAUUUGAAAACUGCAAAGAAUCAGAAAAAAGGUAAAUAAUAAUAAAAAAAAAAAAACAUAAAAAGUAAAUAAUGAAGACCAAUUGGCCAAACACCACAAGGAAAAAACGCAGACAACUGGAAGUACCGAGAGGCUCCGGAGAAGGAUCCAAAGAAAACCCGACAUCUAUCAGCGCAACUCCCGUGUGCUAAAAAUAAAAGAUUGUCUCCCGCAAACCGGCAUUACAGCAAUGGAUUCCCCUUGGCAACAGGCAGCGACAUGUACAACCGGCAACAAGAGACGAUCGCUACUACCAAUCAGGACUGCGCGUAUAAUUCAUUAAGGGCCGACUGCAUGUGAGAGUCGCUAAGUGCAAUUACCCGCAGACGAUUCUUCAAUUCCUGAUGGUACUUCACUCUCCUCAGUUUAAAGCAACAGGUACAGUGAGCGCUGGGGACAGACGGAAGACGAGCCCUGCUCCCAUAUAAAAGGCAAACACAUGGGCAUCUAAGUCAACGGCACUUCCUGCUUUAUGGUGGUCAGCGUGUCGCGGAUCAGUUUGCAGAUCAGGCAGUUGCGGGUCAGUGCGGCGUGGGACGCCAAGAGAAUCCAGCACCCGGAGACACAUCCAUGGGCCGCCUGUAUUGCAAAGAAGGCUAGCGGUGAUCAGUGCGUACAGCCACCUGUUUAAUAUCUGUGCGCAGUGAGGAGAUGGCUGAUCGGAAGUCUCCCUGUAUCUCCGUCCUCAACGUCGCCAACAGCUCUUUCAUCGAUGUAACUGUGAGCGGCAGACAAAGUACAAGCUCCUGACUCAGCCCCUGUGGAAAUGAACAAGAUAACGAGACAUUAAAUAUUUACCAUCCCACUCACAUCCAUUAUGGAACAACAUGACUUUACAAGCCCACUUCUGAUGACAUCACUUCCCGUUUCCAGCAACGGCACUUCCUGCUUUAUGGUGG